rnacentral:rRNA from 1 species
CCAGCACCCCGAGUUGUCGGGACGAUUAUUGGGCCUAAAGCAUCCGUAGCCUGUUCUGCAAGUCCUCCGUUAAAUCCACCCGCUUAACGGAUGGGCUGCGGGGGGAUACUGCAGAGCUAGGAGGCGGGAGAGGCAAACGGUACUCAGUGGGUAGGGGUAAAAUCCAUUGAUCUACUGAAGACCACCAGUGGCGAAGGCGGUUUGCCAGAACGCGCUCGACGGUGAGGGAUGAAAGCUGGGGGAGCAAACCGGAUUAGAUACCCGGGUAGUCCCAGCUGUAAACGAUGCAGACUCGGUGAUGGGUUGGCCUCGAGCCAACCCAGUGCCGCAGGGAAGCCGUUAAGUCUGCCGCCUGGGGAGUACGGUCGCAAGACUG